UACGUAGGGUGCGAGCGUUAAUCGGAAUUACUGGGCGUAAAGGGCGCGUAGGCGGCUCUGUUAGUCAGGCGUGAAAUUCCCGGGCUUAACCUGGGGACUGCGCUUGAUACUGCGGGGCUGAGGGUGGAAGAGGGUCGUGGAAUUCCCAGUGUAGAGGUGAAAUUCGUAGAUAUUGGGAAGAACACCGGUGGCGAAGGCGGCGACCUGGUCCAUUACUGACGCUGAGGCGCGACAGCGUGGGGGAGCAAACAGG
rnacentral:rRNA from 1 species